rnacentral:rRNA from 1 species
CAAACGACUCUCGGCAACGGAUAUCUCGGCUCACGCAUCGAUGAAGAACGUAGCAAAAUGCGAUACUUGGUGUGAAUUGCAGAAUCCCGUGAACCAUCGAGUUUUUGAACGCAAGUUGCGCCCAAAGCCUUUUGGCCGAGGGCACGUCUGCUUGGGCGUCACAC